GAGGCAGCAGUGGGGAAUAUUGCACAAUGGGCGCAAGCCUGAUGCAGCCAUGCCGCGUGUGUGAAGAAGGCCUUCGGGUUGUAAAGCACUUUCAGCGAGGAGGAAGGUGGUGAACUUAAUACGUUCACCAAUUGACGUUACUCGCAGAAGAAGCACCGGCUAACUCCGUGCCAGCAGCCGCGGUAAUACGGAGGGUGCAAGCGUUAAUCGGAAUUACUGGGCGUAAAGCGCACGCAGGCGGUUUGUUAAGUCAGA
rnacentral:rRNA from 1 species